rnacentral:rRNA from 1 species
CAGCAGCCGCGGGAAUACGAAGGGUGCAAGCGUUAAUCGGAACUACUGGGCGUAAAGCGUGCGUAGGCGGUUUGUUAAGUCUGUUGUGAAAUCCCCGGGCUCAACCUGGGAGUGGCAAUGGAUACUGGCAAGCUAGAGUGUGUCAGAGGAUGGUGGAAUUCCCGGUGUAGCGGUGAAAUGCAUAGAGAUCGGGAGGAACAUCAGUGGCGAAGGCGGCCAUCUGGGACAACACUGACGCUGAGGCACGAAAGCGUGGGGAGCAAACAGGAUUAGAUACCCCAGUAGUCCCUGUCUCUUAUAC